ACGCUAGCGGCAGGCUUAAUACAUGCAAGUCGUGGGGCAGCGCAGGUAGCAAUACUGGGCGGCGACCGGCAAACGGGUGCGGAACACGUACACAACCUUCCUUCAAGUGGGGAAUAGCCCAGAGAAAUUUGGAUUAAUACCCCGUAACAUAACGAUGUGGCAUCACAUUGUUAUUAUAGCUUCGGCGCUUGUUGAUGGGUGUGCGGCUGAUUAGAUAGUUGGCGGGGUAACGGCCCACCAAGUCUACGAUCAGUAGCUGAUGUGAGAGCAUGAUCAGCCACACGGGCACUGAGACACGGGCCCGACUCCUACGGGAGGCAGCAGUAAGGAAUAUUGGUCAAUGGACGAAAGUCUGAACCAGCCAUGCCGCGUGAAGGAUUAAGGUCCUCUGGAUUGUAAACUUCUUUUAUCUGGGACGAAAAAAGGCGAUUCUUCGUCACUUGACGGUACCAGAUGAAUAAGCACCGGCUAACUCCGUGCCAGCAGCCGCGGUAAUACGGAGGGUGCAAGCGUUAUCCGGAUUCACUGGGUUUAAAGGGUGCGUAGGCGGGCAGGUAAGUCAGUGGUGAAAUCCUAGAGCUUAACUCUAGAACUGCCAUUGAUACUAUCUGUCUUGAAUAUUGUGGAGGUUAGCGGAAUAUGUCAUGUAGCGGUGAAAUGCUUAGAUAUGACAUAGAACACCUAUUGCGAAGGCAGCUAACUACGCAUAUAUUGACGCUGAGGCACGAAAGCGUGGGGAUCAAACAGGAUUAGAUACCCUGGUAGUCCACGCCCUAAACGAUGAUUACUCGACAUUUGUGAAACACUAUA
rnacentral:rRNA from 1 species